UACGUAGGGUGCAAGCGUUGUCCGGAAUUAUUGGGCGUAAAGAGCGUGUAGGCGGCCCGAUUAGUCCGCUGUGAAAGUCCAGGGCUCAACCCUGGAAUGCCGGUGGAUACUGUCGGGCUAGAGUCCGGAAGGGGCGAGUGGAAUUCCUGGUGUAGCGGUGAAAUGCGCAGAUAUCAGGAGGAACACCAAUGGCGAAGGCAGCUCGCUGGGACGUGACUGACGCUCAGGCACGAAAGCGUGGGGAGCAAACAGG
rnacentral:rRNA from 1 species